ensembl:lncRNA
CGUCCAAGUUGAUACCUGUGGAGAGGAAAGGAAAGAGAGAGUGAGUAACACAAGGAGAAACAGAGGAAACCUGUACUUACAGUACGCUGUGUUCAGCCCAGAGUUGAUACCUGUGGAGAGAAAAGGAGAGAGAGUGGGUAACACGAGGAGAGACCGAGGAAACCUGUACUUACGCCGCUGCCUGUGGAGAAAGAGAAAGCGACCGUUGCCUGUGGAGGAAGAGAAAGAGAGUGAGCACCCCGAGAACGAACUGUGUGAACCAGUACUUACCGUGAGCUGUAUUCAGCGAAGAGGAGGAAGAAGGAGGGCGCUACGGAUACCUAAGACUCAGGCCGGGGCCCGAGUCCCACGCCCCGGAUCCCCGUGGCCCCCUUUCUCCCUGACCUCUUCCCGGCCAUAGCCCAUCUGGAGGGCCGAGUCAGAGUUUAGUUUUAAUUGCCCUUUCCCUAUUCCCCCA